UUUGUUUUACCCAAGACACGCUUUAAAGGGAAUUUCCACAGUAUGAAUCAUAAACUACUUUUCCUGGCACUUAUGACACAGUUAUUAGCCAUAAUGAAACAAAACCACUUCUUAGCUUAUCCAUUGUCUCAGCUAUCCAGACUACUUGCUCAGACUCCAGACUUACCAUUUUCAAAUCCAGUUUCCAGAUUUUGGUGUCCAGGUCUAUACAAAAACAGUAGAGCUUAUCCUGGUACCUAUGAGUUUUACCGCUGAGCUUGGCAUCUUGCCCUUCCUGAACAGUGUUGUGAAUUUUUACAGAACAACAAGGAAGUUUUUUUACCUCCCUGCCUGCCAUCUGAUACCUCCAGGGAAGGAAUUGUACUUGAUCAACACAUCAAAGAGCUACUCAACACAGCUCACACACUGUCAUGGACCCAGAGGGACAGCCUUCCAUCUUCAGCUUCCUCUGUGAAAAAUGAAGUUUAUUUCCUACCUGUGGGGACUUUUUACCAUCUUAUACCAUCUACACUUUCCCCAGAGCCUGGUGAAGGGACUUUGAUCCCAAAAGCUUGCAGAAAAGGACAACUUGCCACUUUCCAGUUGGUCUAAUAAAAGGUAUCAUUUUCAAACCA
rnacentral:lncRNA from 1 species